ACACCUGAAACAAGCAUGUUUCUCAAGCCACUGAAUCUGGAACUCCAACCGUCUUAACCACCACGCUGGCCAUGAGCUGGCCGCCAGCAAAGUCGUCUUACUGAAAUUCACUCCUGGCCUCAGCUGGCCUGGAUUAGGAACACAGAUGCAUCUGCAGUUUGCAAACCUGGGACCUUCUCAGGACGACAUUUUGCAUGCAGAGAGACUCUGGGUGGGACCAUAUGGCUUCCUGCAUUUUCUUCAAUCAAAGUGGAACCAAGAGAAGUGGCAAGAAUGAGGAGAAAAAGAAAAGGGAAAGGGGCUCAUCACAGUGUCAUUGUUGUAGAGUCCCACGAAAUCACAUCCAUUUGGUUUAGCCGUUCAUCUUUUCUCUCUAGGGUCAAGGUGUUUCUGCCCACUUUCUGUUUCACAAAGUGAGUUGUAAAUUUUAUGGGUUUGUAUUUAUGCAGUUGGAAUUUUGAAAUAGAGGGGAAAAUUAAAAGGGAGGAAACUCUUGAUUGUAGGAUCAAAGUUCUACUUAAAAGUUGUGCAAAUUAGGAAGCUUAAAAACCUUACAUUUUUAAGGUAUUUACAGUUUACAGAGCAUUUUCACAUACAAUGAUUUUUGAAUGCACAUGGAGGGGGGUCCAGGGCUGCAACGUGAGCUAUCAGCAGAGCUAUAACUGUAAACCACGUGUCUGGUUUCUUCGACAACACUCUGCAUCACGAGUCUUUCACUUUCUUCCCUCUAUCUCUCCUCCCAUGACUGACUUGGAUAUUUACUGUAUCAAUGCAUAAUAAUGUUAAAGACUAAAGGUUUUAUGA